GGAGGGACAGCACAGCAGAGAUGGUGAAGCCUCGUGGCCAGUGGGGGGCGGGAAGGUGGUGCCACUCUGGGAAAGGCUCCUUCUGUCCUCUGGGCCUUGCCAGUUGUCAGCAGCCCCUGGGACAGGGCUGGCGCAGGAACUUGCGUGGCCACAUUCAGAUAGGUCCUUGCCCACGAGGAGCUUAAACGUAGCACAUCCCAUUCCCCGCUGGGCCUUGGGAGGCAGCGGCCCCUCUCCCAGAGCCCAUCCUACUGGCUCCGGCAGCGUGCCAUGAAAUGUUAGCCCAGCCUGCGUUCUGACCUCUAGUCAGAGAACGCCCUCUGUGGGCACUCACCUUCACCCUCUGAGGGCUGGCAGGCUGCUGGCCCUGUUUCCAGAGGCUGAUCCUGCCAAGAAACAGGCUCAGGGGUUGAGGCAACUCAUCCCCAGUGAUGCAACCAGCAAGAGGCAGAGGCCGCAUUCAAACCCAGGGGCGUUUGCUUCCAGUCCUGUGACCAAUCAACAUCAAUUUAUUUUAUCACAGUUCUGGAUUUAAGAAUCCAAAAUGAGUCUUAUAAGACUAAAAUGAAGGCAUCGGUCGGCAAAGCCACGCUCCUCUGGAGGCUGUUGGGGAGGGUCCUACCCCGUCUUCUAGCUCUCGGCUCCUGGCAUCCCCAGGCUGGUGGCCCGGUCCCUCCAGCCCCUGCUUCCCAUCCUGCAGCCACGUGGGCCCUGCCUCACGUGGCCACCUGUGAUUACACGGGGCCACCUGGAGAAUCCCUGGCCCCAAGGUAAUUGGUCUAAUCACGCAGGCAGUGCCUUGGGCCGGCGACAUUCCCAGGUUCUGCAGAUUAGGCUGGGGAUGUCUUUGGCCCCCCCCACCUCAGGCACCACAUGCUCCAUCAAGCCUUGCUCACUUUUUCUUCUGUAUUCACUACUAAGGCAAUAAUCCUGUUGUUAAACUAAACCCCAGGUGCUGAGUUAAGACCUCGAUUUCUAAGGAAGAAAUCUGCAAUGCGGCCGUCUGACCACGGCUUGCUGUCUAUAACAGGUGAAAUGACCAGGAUGUUCUCAGAGACACGGAUAAGCACACAGCAUGCCUGGCAGCUAAUAAAAACUGCAGGUGACCAAGGAGGAUCUGAGAAACUGGUGUUUUUAUCGAUUCAAGGAAUAAAAGCUAACCCCACAGGCAGAUGUCAGCAAAAUGCCGGUCCGAGUGCCGUCAAGGUCAGGAGGAGGCCAGCACUCUCCGCACAAACAACGUGAGCGUUCUGGAGGGCGGUUUCGACAUGCGUGUGCAGGAACUUGAAGAGAUAAAUACUGUUUGACUCGUGAAGUCAGCUCCACAGAUUCCUCAAGUCCCUUUUUAUGGUGGUGUCUUCUUUUUCAGUUUGGAACAUAACCUCCCGUCUCCCCAUUGUGGCCGACUUGCUUGCUUCUGUUAUCAGGAAGGUAGCCACAUCUCCCUGCAGGUCGUGGCCUGCCGUGGAAGGUGUGCCAUGAAGGUGUCCCAUGGGUCUCAAGUGUUGUCGCCAGUAGCAGGUGUUCCGGAACUGUCCCCUGUGUGGGCUCUCAAGUCCUCCUUUUGUGACUGAGUCCUCAGGUGCUGCAGGUGUGCUGAUGGGUGGGGCUGGCUGCCACCUAGCAGGCCUACUAGGUGGGUGGGGAUGCCCAUCCUCCAGGGCAGAGCUGCUUUUUGCAGGGAGGGUGGCAGGGGUGAGCAAGUUGGAUGGGACAGGUCUGCAGAGGGACGGUAGGGCAGGGCGGGCAGGGCCAGCAAGGGAUAUGGUGACUGCCCCUGCUUCGUUCCUGGAGAAAGUUCCUGUAGAUCCCUGCUCCUCCAGCACACGUCCUAAAAUCACUCAAUAUAUCGAUGCCCUUCGUGAACAGCCCUAGGUGCUUUUCAGACUGCUGCCUCCGUGCUGGGUCUUUUUUUUUUUUUAAGAUUUUAUUUAUUCAUGAAAGACACACACACAGAGAGAGGCAGAGACACAGGCAGAGGGAGAAGCAGGCUCCAUGCAGGGAACCCGACCCAGGACUUGAUACUGAAACUCCAGGAUCAUGCCCUGGACCAAAGGCAGAUGCUCAACCACUGAGCCACCCAGGCAUUCCGGUGCUGGGUCUUGAACACAGUGACAUAGCACGCUGGCCUUAUAGGCCUGGGGUCUUCGAUUCCUGCAGACCUCUGGCUCUCCCAGAGUUAAGUCCUGCUGAUUUUCAAAGUGAGACAUUAUGGGGGCUCAUCUUUCCAGUACAGAUACCUAGAGGGGUACCUCAGGUUGGGGCUUGAACCCUUCGAGGGAGGACCUCAAUGCUGAGGCAUCACCCGUACAUGCAGGUCCCCAUGCUGGGGGUUUGGUUCCCGAGGGCCUGCGUCUCUGCCCUCGCUACCCUUAUGGAUGUGGUUUCCUCUGCAUUUCUUCAACUGCAGCUGACCUGUUUUGCUGGCUGCCAGGUUCUUCCUGGAAAGGAGUACUCUAUACGUAGCUAUAUGCAGCCCUAGUGUGUCCGUGGGAGGAGGUGAGCUCAGCAUCUUCCUCCUCCACAGCCUUCCCAUUCAGCCCGGAACCGACACGUAUGGUUAAUAAAGUUUUCAAUGAAAUGCAAGCAGGAAAGACGUAGACACAACCUCAGGCAGGCCCACCCUCUAAUGACUCUGCUCUUUGGUGCAUCCCCAGCCUCGGAACACAGUCUGCCACACAUCAGUCCCCAGCUCUACACUCCCAAAAUGCGUGGGGCACUGUCGCAAGGACGUGACGUGUGCCAGCAGAUCCUCACAAUAAUCCCAGUGGCAAGCACUAUUGUUACCACCCCUGCUUUAGAGGUGGAGAAACUGAGGCACAGAUCAAUAGUGGGACUUGCCCGAGGUUCUAAGCUAAUCAACUGCAGAGCCGGGAUUCAAUAUCUGCCCUUAACCACCUUUCUGUGGAGCUUGGUCAGGUGGUUGCUCAGGGGACGCUGAAAUAACCAGGAAGGCCGUGUCCUGAUGCCGGGGUGGGCAGAUGGAAAGCUUUCCAACAGUGCUUUCCACACGAUGGAUGGCAGCCCACCUGUGGGUCAUGAAAUCCUCCCAGAAGGGAAGGGUGUUACAAGUUACCCCCAAACUGCUUGGCGUAAACCAAUAAUAAACAUGAUCUCAGACAAUUUUGGAGGCUCAGGGACACAGAGACAGCUCAGCUGGGUGGUUUUGGCUGUCUCCCCACAUGGACCACUCCAUGGGGCUGCAUGAGCAUCCUUGCUGCAGGAUGGUCGGCCUCCUCUCACCCCUCCUGGGUGAGCGACCCAGGAGACAUAUAGCAGAGUCUCGGGAGCCGUGCUUCAUCAUUCCUGUGACCUCCCUCUGGUUACACAGUCCAUGUGGGAGGGAGCUACACAGGACACGAGCAGCAGGACACCUAGAGGCCCGUGGGGAGGAGGGAUCCACCAAAACUGGGGGAUCUGGCUGGUGGUAGAGUUCUGCUACAAGGCAAGAGCAGACCUUCCGCUGACCAAAGUCCUUUGUGUCGGGUCCAGAUGCAUUAUUGCUGGUGGCCCCCGCCUGGCUUCUGCCUUUUGGCCUGACAGCGAGGUAUUUGUGAAGGUGUGUUGCUUGAUGAGCUAAGAGAAGGAAGCAGCCUAGGGACAAGCAAUGGGCCAGUGAAGUAAGAAUGUGGGAGGCCACAGAGACUGCAGGCAAGCCUGGGCCCCACCCCUGCCAGACACAGGCAAUUGCAGGAGAAGGAACAUUGCAAAUCCUAAAACAUAAAUCAAGGUCAGAGAUGAUCAUGAUAAUGUUUGUGGAAGAGGCUCCACGGGAGGCAGGCUGGAUGCCAGGGGAAGGGAGGCGGUAUUGCAGCACCCCGCUGCACAGAGCACCUACUCCAGGCAGGAUCCAUGGGGGCACCUUGUUCGUUUCUGAACAGCACUAUUUUCCAUUAUUAAUGCUUUAAAAUAGGCAAUAUGCUCACACUUGGACAUUUAUCCCAGAGAAAUAAAAAAUUAUGUUUGCAUAAA
rnacentral:lncRNA from 1 species